rnacentral:lncRNA from 1 species
AACAAUAGCGACCCUUUCAUCUCUCAAAGCUUCCAUGACCUCUUCCUCUUUCUCUUAUCUGGAGUCAAACUUCUCAACAUUGUUAGGUAGAGCCUCAACUUCUAUAGGUGGUACGGGAUAGGAGAAAUCAACAUAAUUGUUGCCUUCAGUUCUAAGUUCAAUCACAUCCAAGGAAAUUUUCGUAGCUCUUCUGCUCAGCUCUGCCUUGCAUUACACCUUUUACAUCUGCAGUAGUGGUAUCAACACUAGUUAACCAAUCCUGGAUGUUUGGUGCAAGUUUAUGUAAGUUUCUCUGGGCAGCCUCCGCUCGUAGAUGCACCCCAUUUCUGACAUUUUCUAGCCUCUGAGAUUCUUUUUCUAGAGAUUUGAUGUUUCUCUUGUAGUAAAAAAAAAUACCCAAACCCUCACGCAACUGGAUGGAUCAAGCAAUCGAUGGAUUUUUCUACAACAAUAGUUAAGAAUUCCAUAGCUGCUAUGGUUUAGUAAUAAGCCUUUUUAGGUGUUUCUUUAAUUAGUUAUUGGGAAGUAAAGGUGAUAUGAAAUGAAUGGUGAAAAAGAAGAAGUGUAAGAGAAUUUGGUGUGAAAGGAAGGCUGAAAGAGCGGCAAUGGAAUAUUUGGUAUGAAAAUGAAAGCUGAAGGAGCGGCAAUGAGGAAUUUGGUAUGAAGAUAAAAGAUCGGAGAGUGGGAAUGGAGAAUUUGGUAUGAAACAAAAGAAUAGCAGUGUUUGAGAAUUUGGUGAAAGAGUGGCAAAGUUGAAUUUAAUAUAAAAAUGAAACAUGCAAUGGAAAAUUUGCUAUGAAACGAAAGAGGUGGAGUGUAGAAUUUGAUAUGAAAAUUAAAGGUGAAAGAGCGGUGUAACAUCCCGCAUUUCGGGCUAGAACGUAAACCAUUAUUCUUUCACAUAGAGGUUGAAAAAUUCAUGAAUACUAUGCAAAUUUAGUGUGUAAUCAAUUAUGUAGUGUUUGAAUCUAGUUGAGCAUGAAUUGAGAUCAUAGAAGUCCCUUAACUCAAAGACGGGUUGAGAACUUUCCUAUCGUUCAAGUUUUAGUGAAUGUUGAAGCUUGGGCCAACUUCAAUUGAUCAUAACUCAAUAUAUAUGAAUAACUUAGUGGCCUACUAUAUAUCAAAUGAAAUAUCUUUGAAUUAGCUUUCCAUCGAUACCAAAUUCGCCUAAAACGGACACUCGGUGAAGAAGUUAGAGCAUUUUUAGUGUCAGCAUUCCCGUUUGACUGGCCACCGUGUUGCGGGGAGCCUUAAAAUGACAAUUGUAAAUUCCAGUAGCUCACUGCAAUUUCCAGCGCGUCGCGGUGAAGCUUUAGACGGCGUUCCAGUCUCGGAUUUUAAAUUCUAAGGCCAAAUUAGACAUUUCCCAUAGCCCCAAACCCAUCCAAACACGGGAUUUAAUCCCAAAUACAGCUAAAUACAUACACUUCCACCAAAAUUCAUCAAGAACGCUCUCUAGGGUUUCAAACAAGAAUCCCAAAUAAUUCAAGAUUCAACCGUGGGUUUUCAAAAGCGAUUGAAGAAUUGGAAUCCCCGCAACGUAGUCUUCAAGAAGCACCUGCUAAUUUCGUAAAUAGAGGUACGUGGAGUUAUCCUAAAAAUCUCAUGGGCUUAAAAAUUCAUGUUUUAAUAAUGGGGGUUUUGAAAUUAUGAAUAUAAAUCACGUUUUAAACGUUUUUGCGAUAUUGAUUUGGUCUUUAGGCCUAUUCCUGAAGUGAUUUGAUAUAUGAUAUAUGUAUGUGCAUGUACUCCGAAAAGAUGUUAACUUGAGAGCAUGAAUCAUAUAAAAUCCCUCUCUUGAUAUGCUUUUGUUUUAAAUUUUCACAUGAUGUGAAUUGUUUGAAAAUCAUCUUGAAAAGCAUGACAUGAAAUGUUUGAAAGUUGUUAUGAUUGGAUAUGAUUUUGACUUGCAAGGAGAGGGUUGUUUAUGUUGAAAUAUUUUGAAUAUAAUGGUUGAAUGAAAAGAAUGAUGUGAUACUGAUGACUUGAAAGUCGGGUAUGACGAUACCCUACAGAACAUGAUAUGUGAUUGUAUUAAAUGGAGUUGAAUGCAUUGAUUUUACAUGAGAUAGGUGGAUGCCUGAAGAAGGCGUUUGAGUGUAAGGGCUCAUCGCUGGAAAUAGUAUUUGCCGACAUGGGAAUUUGGUACCCUGUUUUGUGAUCUUGCGUACCUGACUUUAUGUCAUCCCAAAUUGGGACUAUGGUUAGGAGCCCUGCUUUGUGAUCUUGUGCGCUACCAUACUUUAUUGGGUCGAGAUACCCUGCUGUGUGAUCUUGUGUGUCUUCCCCUCACUUAUACUCUAAUCUCGAUGGCAACCGAAGUUUGACAGUUGGUGUAAAUGUGAUAUGUAGGGUAUUCCACCUAGCUCAGAUGCAUUGCAUUGUUGUUGGAAAAUUAUUACAUUAUGCCCAUGUGCUUUUCAAAUGAUUUGAUACUAAACUGCUUUAUAAUGGCUCUCACUUAUAUUCUAUAAGAAUAUUAUAUUGAUGUUUUGGAUUUCUGUGCGUACCUGUACUUUUGUAGUGACCCUCUUCCCUCCUAGGUUCAGAGGCACAGUUUAGGGGUCCAGAUAAUCAAUUGAUUCUUUAGACAGAUUUGCAGAGUCACUUGGUGAGCCUUCUAUAUUCAGGAAGGCCUGAUGAUGUUUGGCAGUUUUAUUUAUCCUUUAUUAGUUUUUGGGUCUACUGGGCGCCUUGUCCCAAUUUUCAGACAGUACUUUGUUUCAGUCAUGUAGUAGAGAUUUUGCAAACGGUUUUCAAAUGUCGAUAGAGGUUGUGGGACAUUAUUUCCCAUUAUUGAUUUCAUUAUAUUCAUGACCAUGUUUCCGUAAUAUUAUGUAUCUUCAUCAUUUCUUUUUAUCAUAUGAAUUAUGUGCAUGAUUACCGGAUAGAUAGGGGUGUUUCCGACCUUCAUGUUUCGGAAUGCUCGUCACAACCAGGGCCUUUGUUCGGGUCGUCACAAACUUGGUAUCAGAGCACGGUUCAUGGUCCCAGGGUGUUUGCAAAAUUGCGUCGGGUAGAGUCUUGUUUAUGGGUUAGUAGCGCACCAUACUUAUAAGCAAGAAGAUACUAGGUGUUCAGGAGAUAUUUCCUUUUUUUGUGAAUUAUUUCAUGCUUCAGAGUCAAGUCUGUUCCUAAUCAGUAAUCUUUUGUCUUACAAAAAUAACAGUCAUGCCUCCUCGUUGCAAUACUAAUCAGAGUGCUCAGAAUGAUGAAGUCCGUCCCACUCAUGGGAUGAGGACACGUGACAGAGCUCUCACUCCAGACCCUGUCCCUACUCGGGAGUCCCUUUAGUCCCGACCAGCCCACCCCAGGCUCCACGAACCAAUUUUAACCGUCCUCCGACUAAUCAGAGGGAUAUUUCAAAUGCAGAAUUCAGACAAUUGAUUUAUAUGUUAACACAGUUGGUGGAUGCACAGACUCAGUGGUCAGAAGAUACUAGUCUACAUCUGUUACUUCUGGAGCUACACGGGUGAGCCAAUUCAUGAGAAUGAAUCCUCCCAAAUUCACCGAUACUAAAGUAGAAGAGAAUUCGCAGGAAUUUGUAGACGAAAUGAAAAAGAUCUUCAAAGUGAUGCAUGUUGAUGAAGUAAAAGGGGUGGAAUUGGCCAUGUAUCAGCUGAAAGAGGUGGCGAAUCAGUGGUACAAAGAUUGGGAAGAUGCGAAGGGAGACAAUGCAGAGCCUUCGGUAUGGAGUGAGUUUGUAGAUGCUUUCCUUGACCGGUUCUUUUCUUUAGAGUUGCGGGAGGCAAAGGCUGAGGAGUUCAUGAACCUUAAGCAGGGUAAGAUGAGUGUUCAAGAGAAUACUCUGAAGUUCAAUCAGCUGGCCCGUUAUACUCCUGAGAUGACAAAUAGUAUGAGGGCCCGAAUGAGGAAUUUGCGUCCGGCCUUUCAGAGGAUCUGGUACUUGAGUGCCAGGGAGCUAUGUUGAACAAAGAGUUGGACUUUGCUAGGCUGACGGUUCAUAUGCAACAAGUAAAAGAGAAAAAGAAGAAAAUUUCUGAAGCUAGGGAGAUAGAAAGACAGGCGAAAAGAGACAGUUCUACCGACCAGGGUCACAGUCAGCCUCAAAGCGGUAAGUGAGGAAAUAAAUGGCAGAAGAAAAAGAAUUGGGGUAAUGCACAGUCUGCUGCCAGUGCCCCAACGCCCAGACCACCAGCAGACAGACGAUCUCAGAGUUUCCAAACUCAUCAUGGAUCCAGAGCCCCAGAUACUCAGUCGCAAGGCAGUGUGGCCCAGUAGUGUCGUACUUAUCCACGGUGUGAGACUUAUGGAAAGAAUCACCUGGGAAGGUGUUAUUUCGAGGGAGAAACUGUUAUACUUGUGGCAAGGUGGGUCAUCUUCAGAGAGAUUGCCCUUCUGCCGAAGGAAAUGCGAGGGGGGGGGGCCUAAGCCCCAGGCUGCCUCUACGGCUCCUCCUCCUUAGGGUGCCCCUUCAGCUGUCGGGAGUGGUCGUAACUGGUUAUAUGCUUUGGCUAACUGCCAGGAGGUGGAAUCUUUACCAGAUGUUGUCACUGGUACGUUACAGAUCUUUUCCCGUGAUGUUUAUGUAUUGCUUUAUCCCGAGUCUAUCUUAUCUUAUGUGACCCCUUAUGUGGAUGUUGGUUUUGGGUUUGAACCCAAAGUUAUGGUAGAACCCUUCACUGUUUCCACUCUUAUAGGUGAUUCUGUUGUUGCUAGAAGGGUGCAUAGAAAUUGUAUUGUGUCUAUUCUUAGUCGGGAUACUGUGGCAGACCUUAUAGAACUUGAUAUUAGAUUUUGAUGCUAUUCUUGGGAUGGACUAGCUCCAUUCAUGUUAUGCCACACUUGAUUGCAGAACCUAGAGGGUUACUUUUUCUUUCCCGAAUGAGACACCAAUUGAAUGGGCAGGGAAUUCUGUGGCACCUAAAGGUCACUUUAUCUCUUAUCUUGAGCCCGAAGACUUAUCUCCAGAGGUUGUACGUACCAUAUAAUCUGAGUAAAAGAUUCUAGAGUUGAAAAUCUUCCUCUUCAGUCAGUCCCUGUAGUGAAUGAGUUUCCAGAAGUCUUUUCUAAAGAUCUCCCAGGGAUACCACCUGAUAGGAAGAUAGAUUUUGGCAUUGAUGUGUUGCCAGACACUCGUCCUAUUUCCAUUCCGCCAAAUAAAAUGGCUUCCGUGGAAUUGAAAGAGUUAAAAGAAUAGCUCGCAGACCUCCUAGACAAAGGCUUUAUUCGUCCUAGUGUUUCCCCAUGGGGUGCACCCAUACUUUUCGUGCGAAAGAAGGAUGGGUCCCUUCUUAUGUGCAUAGACUACCGCCAGUUGAAUAAGGUCACUAUUAAAAACAAAUAUCCUCUUCAUAGGAUUGAUGAUCUUUUUGACUAGCUUCAGGGUGCUAAGUGUUUUUCGAAAAUAGACCUUCGUUCGGGUUAUCAUCAGUUAAAGGUUAGGGAGUCAGACAUUCCUAAAACAGCCUUCCGAACCCGAUAUGGUCACUAUAAGUUUUUAGUCAUGUCCUUCGGGUUGACUAACGCCCCUGCAACUUUCAUGGAUCUUAUGAAUAGGGUGUUUCAUUAGUUUCUAGACUUGUUCGUCAUAGUGUUCAUUGAUGAUAUUCUGAUCUAUUCCAAAAGUGAGGAGGACCAUGUCAAUCACCUCCGAACUAUCCUUCAGACCCUUCAGGAUCAUCAGUUAUAUACCAAGUUCUCCAAAUGUGAAUUUUGGUUGGAUGCUAUUACCUUUUUGAGGCAUAUUGUAUCUAGUGACGGGAUUAGAGUGGAUCCCCAAAAGAUUGAGGCAGUGAGAAAAUGGCCCAGACCUAUGACUCCAAUUGAUAUUCAGAGCUUUUUAGGCCUAGCAAGUUAUUAUAGAAGGUUCGUAGAGAGUUUUUCUUCCAUAGCUAUUCCACUCACUAAAUUGACUUUGAAAAAGGUAAAGUUUUGUGGUCUGACUCGUGUGAAAACAGUUUCGAGAAGUUGAAAGACAAACUAACUACUACUCCUAUUUUGACUCUUCCCGAGGGUGUAGAUGGUUUUGUGGUUUACUGUGAUGCAUCCUGUGUGGGACUUGGUUGUGUAUUGAUGCAGCAUGGUAAGGUGAUAGCUUAUGCAUCUAGGCAGUUAAAGGUGCAUGAGCGUAAUUACCUCAGUCAUGACUUAGAGUUAGCAACCGUGGUGUUUGCACUUAGAAUCUAGAGGCAUUAUCUCUAUGGAGUGCAUGUUAAUAUUUAUACUGACCACAAAAACUUGCAGUAUGUUUUCUCGCAGAAAGAAUUGAACCUCAGGCAGAGGCAUUGGAUGAAGCUUUUGAAAGACUAUGAUAUGAGCCUGCAUUACCAUCCAGGCAAGGCAAAUGUUGUAGCCGACGCUCUAUGGGAAACCUUUCUCAUGUUAAAGAAGGGAAGAAAGAGAUGGUGAAGGAUAUUCACCGCCUUUCAAAUCUGGGAGUGCGACUCUUAGAUUCCAAAGAUGGAGGGGUGAUUGUUCAUGAGAUAGUUAAUUCAUCCCUUUGUGCUGAAGUUAAAGAAAAGCAGGUUGAAGAUCCCAUCUUGAUGCAAAUCAAGAAAGAUGUAGGUCAACAAAAGGUAAUGUCGUUCGAAAUUGGUGGUGAUGGUAUUCUAGAUAUCAGGGUAGGUUAUGCGUUUCGAAUAUUCAUGGAUUGCGGAAAAGAAUCCUUUAUGAGGCUCACACUUUGAGGUAUGUUGUUCGCCCGGGCUCUACUAAGAUGUACCAUGAUCUGAAAACUUUGUAUUGGUGGAAUAAUAUGAAACACGAUGUAGCUGAUUUUGUUUCCAGGUGUUUGAACUGUCAACAAGUGAAGGUAGAGCAUUUGAGGACAGGUGAACUUAAGUACAACAUUCCACCCUCAGACUGAUGGGAAAGCUGAACGCACCAUUCAGACCCUUGAGGAUAUGUUGAGGGCUUAUGUAAUAGAUUUCAAAGGUAGUUGGGUAGAUAAUUUGCUGUUGGUUGAGUUCUCUUACAAUAAUAGCUACCAUGCCAGUAUUAAUAUGGCACCAUUUGAAGCAUUGUAUGGGAGAAGAUGCAGGUCUCCUAUAGGGUGGUAUGAAGUUGGUGAGACACGGUUGUUUGGGCCUGAUAUUGUUCAUCAGGCAAUGGAGGAUGUGAAAAUCAUCAGAGAAAGACUUAAGACGGCACAGAGCCGUCAGAAAUCCUAUGCCGAUGUUAGAAGAAGAGAGCUAGAGUUUGAGGUUGAAGAUUGGGUAUUCCUUAAAGUUUCUCCCAUGAAGGGAGUUAUCCGCUUCGGGAAGAAAGGUAAGCUGAGUCCUUGCUAUACAGGACCAUAUCAGAUUAUAAAAAGGAUAGGUGGAGUUUUAUACGAGUUAGAGUUGCCUGCAAAUUUGGGUUCUGUUCACCCGGUAUUCCUUAUAUCAAUGUUGAAGUAGUGCAUUAGAGAUCAUUCGAUAGUGUUACCUGUUGAAGAAUUCAAAGUGACCGAUUCCUUGUCUUAUGAAGAAGAGCCUAUAGCAAUCGUAGAUCGUCAAGUGAUAAAGCUGAGGAACAAAUAGAUAGCCUCAGUUAAAGUUUUGUGGCGGAAUAAGAAAGUUGAAGAAGCAACUUGGGAAUCAGAAAACGACAUGAGAGUUAGAUACCCAAGCCUAUUUGAUCCGGUGAAUGCUGAGAUGAAAGGUACAAUUCUUGUCUUAUGUCUUCUUUUAAAUAUCUGAGUAUACUUGAAAUCGUACGUGACUGUAUUCCAUGUCAUCAUUCGGGGACAAAUGAUCCCAACGGGGAUAAUGUAACACCCCACAUUUCGGGCUAGAAUGUAAACCGUUAUUCUUUCACAUAGAGGUUGUAAAAUUCAUGAAUCCUAUACAAAUUUAGUGUGUAAUCAAUUAUGUAGUGUGUGAAUCUAGUUGAGCAUGAAUUGAGAUCAUAGAAGUCCCUUAACUCAAAGACGGGUUGAGAACUUUCCUAUCGUUCAAGUUUUAGUGAACGCUGAAACUUGGGUCAACUUCAAUCAAUCAUAACUCAUUAUAUAUGAUGAACUAGGUGGCCUACUAUAUAUCAAUGAAAGAUAUUCGAAUUAGCUUUCCAUCGAUACCAAAUUCGCCUAAAACGGACACUCGGUGAAGAAGUUAGAGCAUUUUUAGUGUCAGUGUUCCCGUUUGACUGGCCACCGUGUCGCGGGGAGCCUUAAAAUGACAAUUGUCAAUUCCAGUAGCUCACUGUGAUUUCCAGCGUGUCGCGGUGAAGCUUUAGACGGCCUUCCAGUAUCGUAUUUUAAAUUCUAAGGCCAAAUUAGACAUUUCCCAUGGCCCCAAACCCAUCCAAACACGGGAUUUAAUCCCAAAUACAGCUAAAUACAUAUACUUCCACCAAAAUUCAUCAAGAACGCUCUCUAGGGUUUCAAACAAGAAUCCCAAAUAAUUCAAGAUUCAACCGUGGAUUUUCAAAAGCGAUUGAAGAAUUGGAAUCCCCGCAACGUAGGCUUCAAGAAGCACCCGCUAGUUUCGUAAAUAGAGGUACGUGGGGUUAUCCUAAAAAUCUCAUGGGCUUAAAAAUUCAUGUUUUAAUAAUGGGGAUUUUGAAAUUAUGAAUAUAAAUCACAUUUUAAACGUUUUUGCGAUAUUGAUUUGGUCUUUAGGCCUAUUCCCGAAGUGAUUUGAUAUAUGAUAUAUGUAUGUGCAUGUACUCCGAAAAGAUGUUAACUUGAGAGCAUGAAUCAUAUAAAAUCCCUCUCUUGAUAUGCUUUUGUUUUAAAUUUUCACAUGAUGUGAAUUGUUUGAAAAUCAUCUUGAAAAGCAUGACAUGAAAUGUUUGAAAGUUGUUAUAAUUGGAAAUGAUUUUGACUUGUAAGGAGAGGGUUGUUUAUGUUGAAAUAUGUUGAAUAUAAUGGUUGAAUGAAAAGAAUGAUGUGAUACUGAUGACUUGCAAGUCGGGUAUGACGAUACCCUACAGAACAUGAUAUGUGAUUGUAUUAAAUAGAGUUGAAUGCAUUGAUUUUACAUGAGAUAGGUGGAUGCCCAAAGAAGGAGUUUGAGUGUAAGGGCUUAUCGCUGGAAACCGUGUUUGCCGACAUGGGAAUUUGGUACCCUGUUUUGUGAUCUUACGUACCUAACUUUAUGUCAUCCCAAAUUGGGACUAUGGUUAGGAGCCCUGCUUUGUGAUCUUGUGCACUACCAUACUUUAUUGGGUCGAGACACCCUGCUGUGUGAUCUUGUGUGUCUUCCCCUCACUUAUACUCUAAUCUCGGUGGCAACUGAGGUUUGACAGUUNNNNNNNNNNNNNNNNNNNNNNNNNNNNNNNNNNNNNNNNNNNNNNNNNNNNNNNNNNNNNNNNGCUUUUCAAAUGAUUUGAUACGAAACUGCUUUAUAAUGGCUCUCACUUAUAUUCUGUAAAAAUAUUAUAUUGAUGUUUUGGAUUUCUCAGCGUACCAGUACUUUUGUAUUGACCCCCUUCCCUCCCAGGUUCGGAGGCACAGUCUAGGGGUCCAGAUAAUCAGUAGAUUCUUUAGACAGAUUUGCAGAGUCACUUGGUGAGCCUUCUAUAUUCCAGGUUAGGACAAGAGAGCUGCAAUAUUAUUUGGUAGUUUUUUAAUUGUUGGGUCUUCCUGUAUUGUUAGAAAUGAUUACAAUAAAAUUCUUAUUUCUGGUUUGUCUUUUUAUUUUAUUACAAUAAAUUAAUUCAUGUUCACACUGAAUCAAUAUAUAUAUAUAUAUAUAUAUAUAUCUUUUAAAUUAUGAAUUUGAUGCUUCUAUUUCUAAUCCUGCAAAAACUAAUAGAUAUUCUUCUUGAGUUGGAAAAUACAUGUAAUUUAACAGAAGCGCUUUAUUGAUUAAAAAAAAAAACUGCAGUGGCAAAAUAUAUCAUUAUUUUUUGUAUAUGAUCUCAUUUCAUAUUUUAAAAAGUUUUUAACAUCUCAAACACAGUUAUGUUUGUUUUUUUUAAAAAAAUUAAAAUUUACUUUAACACUAGUAAUAGUAGAAAAAAUAGACAUUGCGUAGGUAAAGAUCUUUAGUGCUCAAGUGAGGUGGUAUUCACGAUUAAAAAAAAGAGUAUAAGGUAAUAUUUUAAUUUAUAAAAACCAUCAAUUAAAAGAUGAAAAGGAAUUAUUAUUUUAAUGAUCAUGUAGAGUAGUAGAACAAAGCUUUUCAUCAAAAAGAAGAUGAAAAAUGUCAAUUUAUUUGUUCUUUCAUAUUCAUAUGUCAUGAUUUAUUAAUUUCUUAUGUUUUCUUCGAAUUUGAGACCAAAAUUAAAAUUAAAAUAGUGUUUAUGUGACCAGAAACUCUGAAAAGACCGAUAUAGUUAGUUUGGUUUUAUUGUGACCAAUUACCUCAAUAAAAAAAACAAAUACAAUUUAAAUUAUAGAUAAAGUACCUACCCAAACAAUUAAUAAUCAUAUAUAAUUUUAAAAAAAAAAAGUAUAGACAUUGGGUAAGUAAAUAUCUUUCAUGCUCAAGUUAAAGGUAAAAUUUUAAUUCACAAAACUUUCCACCAAAUAAAAAAAGAAAAAGUAGAGAAGUAGAAGCAGACCUUUUCAUGAAAAAGAGGAUUUGAGUGAGUGAUGGAGUUGUUGACUGUUGGCCAGAAAGUUUGGAACUCAGGUAAGGUGUAGAAGGCCAUGACUUGUAAAUGAGGGAACUCAAUGCCCUCAACAGUGUCAUAGCAAAAGUGAGUGAAGCAUGGUAGACGACGAAGCUCCAACUCAUAUAAAUUUGGGAACUUGAUUAUUCCCUGUCCGAUAUGUGUCUUGUGAGAGAUCUUCGUUUCCUCAUCUUCAGCGGGACAAGCUACUGUCGAACUCCCUCCAGCCCAUGAUACACGAAAGACAUACUGUAGACCACCACACUCGCUUACCUCCAAUCUUUUGAGUUUGGGGAACGGAAUAUUAUUCUAGCAAUAGAUAUUCAGUGAAUGUGUCAAUGAAUCACAUUCAUAGAGGAGGAGAUCUUUCACAUUCUGAAAUUCAUCCUGUUGAGUACAUUCUUGGAGCCCUUUCCUGUUGAAUGUACAACUUCGCUCUGCCUCAACAGGCGGCACAUCCAAUCACCCAAUGGGGCAGUCUCAGUGACCUCUAAACCAAUAAUUUUGCUGUAAUUAUCCAUGCUUGAACUGUCUGUGUCAUCUCCACCCACAUGAAGAAUGUACCGCGUCAACUUGGAGGAAAGGCCCAAGUUACUGUAAAUCACAUCUUCAGAACAUUCAUCUAAUGUCAGUGCGGUCAAUCUCGAUGUGGAUUCCAGCUCCCUCAAGGUGGAGUAACUACAAUCUUGUAUUCCCUCCACAUGUAGUUCCUCCAAUCGAACUAGCCUUGAUAAGACCCCUGGUGAAAUCCUUAUAAGACCUCCAUCCUCCUCCUUCCGAACAAACUCUAACAUAAUUAGAUUGGUCAAUUUUCCAAUCUCCACUGGCAGCUCCACUAAAUAAGACUUUCUGAUGCUGAGAAUUUCUAAAGUGACAAGUUCCCCAAUAAUGGAUAUGUCAUCCAACAUUAAAUCAGUCAAACACAGCGUCCUCAGAUUUGACAACCUCUGAAUGGACGUUGGAAGUGUCUGAAUGAAGGCAUCAUAGUUGACUCCCUCUAUGCUUAAGACAUUGAGUUUGCUCAUUCCAUAAAAAAAAUCAUCCUGCAAUUUGAAUGGAUCUCCAAAACAGAGCUUCAACAUUAGAAGCUUCAAUUUUGGGCAUAAUAUUGGUCCAGGAAGCUCAUCAAAUUUAUUUGCAACAAUUGACAUGUGACUGUAUUGCUCGUAAGAGUCUUUUCUUGGGAACUCUUCCGAGUUCACAUCGUGACUUACCAUUAAAAUAUGAUUACCCUCAGAUGCAAUAUAUAUAGCCACGUCACGAACCACAUCAUGCAUUUUGACAAAACGUUUGUCUGAACCUAGGGAUAGCAAGAAGCUAUCUUUCAGUGUUUCUAAUAGAAGACACAUCCUAUUUCUUGCAUGUUCAAAAUUUUCGAUUUCAGAAAAGAUGUCAAGCCCCAUUCCGUAUCGGAGUAAUUCUUCAGUCCAAAUAUCUCUAUCUUCCUCAAACAAGGAGCAAAGCAAAAAGACGUACCUGGCUUCAUCACUUUCCAAGUGAUUGUAGCUUACCUUCAAAGGUUGAUACACAUUUGUAAGCACUCCUGGGAUGUUUCUUGGUGCUGAUUUUUGUAACUGUUUAAGGGCAUCCUCCCACGAAGGCUUGGUUUUACGCUUUAGUGCUCCAGCAACUGUAACAAUUGCAAGCGGCAACCCCUUGCAUUCUUCCGCAACAUCUUUUGUUAUGUGAAGAAGAGAAGGAUCAUCAACCGAAUCACCGGCUUUCUGCCUGAAAAGAACCCAUGCUUCCUUUUCAGAUAAAACUCCAACUUCUACGAUCUUUUGCGACUCCACAGCAUCACAAACAUCUCGGAGACGCGUCAUCAAUAUAACUUUGCACCAAUAGUUGUGGUCGCUACCACUGGGAAUUCCGAGCCUCUUUAGAUCAACAAACGCCCAAACAUCAUCCAAAAUUACAAGGACGCGACUGUCCUUAUACAUUAACCUUGAACGCAGCCGAUCUCCACGACUCCACAAAUUAUCCCCUUCCAAUGUCAGCCCGACUUCUCUUGCGAUCUCACCCUGUAUUUUUUUAAAGUCUGGUUGCUGACUGACAGUUACCAUGACAACCUCAUCGAACAGUCUUUCUUGUUUGGCCCUUGCUUUUAUUUUCUCAGCUAGUUUCGUCUUACCGACACCACCCAUCCCACAUAUCCCAACAGUAGUGACCCUUUCAUCUCUCAAAGCUUCCAUGACCUCUUCCUCUUUCUUUUUUCGGGAGUCAAACUCCUCAACAUUGUUAGGUAUAGCUUCAACUUCAAUUGGUGGUACAGGAUAGGAGAAAUCAACAUAAUUGUUGCCUUCAGUUCGAAGUUCAAUCACAUCCAAGGCAAUUUUCGUAGCUCUUCUGCUCAGCAAGUAACGUGACUUCAAGUUUGGACACCAACCAAAGAAACAGACUCUUUCAA